UUCACUUUCGAUUUACCACUUCCGGGUACAUCGGCAGACUUAUUUACCGUUACGCAUAUAGGUAACCCGAAAAACUCGAGGGAUAUAGAAGUUAAAUUUGUUUCGGUCCUCUUCAGAUUUGAAGGUAUGGAUAGCACGGGUCAAAAAAUGCAGAUGUAUAGACAAGGGGGUAUAUGACAAGUAUAGAAUGUAUACAGUUGUUCAAUAUGGACCAUUAAUCAACUGUUUGCACUGCCUAUGAUCCUGAAAUAUCUAUACAUCAAAGAUAAAAAGGGAAAAGAUGAAGGAGGAUUUGUCCAUGAAGACCUUUAUUGCAACUACCAUCUUCCAGUUCCUUAAUUUGAGAAUGAUAUCAGAGAACACACAGUUACAGUGAAAUAUUAGUUUAAUAUAAGCCACUGAGAAUAGUCAAAUGUACUUUCCUGAAGAAGAUGAAUGACAUCCAGCACAAAAAUCUUAAUGUAUAAGUAUGAUUUUAUGGUGUUUG